rnacentral:ncRNA from 2 species
AAUGCAAAAUAGGGGAGCUGGACAAGAUUCGGCUGAGAGGAAGUAUGCUUCGACCCGACCUGAUGCGGAUAAUGCCGCCGUAGGGAUUUUUUGCUUUUCUCAU